UGAGACCCACCCACGACGCACAAUGAA
rnacentral:piRNA from 1 species